CUUUUCUCACAGCUGCUUUACUUCAAUUUCCACUGUCACAAAGAAACAAAAACCGAUGAACACGAGCUUGUUUCGUCAUUUUUGCAAGUCGAAGCAGGGAUGGAUUUGGAGACAGCAAUCAAUUUGGCGAUGGAAUUGAAGAUGGGCCGCAACUAUAUUCUUAUCCAGAAAGGAUUUCAGAGCCUGCAAUUGAGAUUUCUGCACACAAAUUGGGUGAGGAUUUCAUCCUUCAUUUCACUCCUUUGUUUGAUCUGUGUACAACAAAACUAAAAUUUUCUUCUGGGUUCUUCCCAUCGGCGACUCGGGGAAUUGAAUUGUUGUUUUCUGGUGUUGAAAUUUAAUCGCGGUGAGUUCAAACAAGGCAAAAGUGCGUUGUUUGCAUUGAAAGCAAGGCUCCUGUCUUUGACUCCAGGUGCUAUAAGGAAGACACACAUAGACUAUUGCUGACAUUGAGAGUAGGUUUUGCUAUCAGAAUACUCACUUUCCUCUCUUUCUUUUUGUUUUGUGCUUUUGUCAAUUUCUGCAAUUGUCUUACUUACAUUGAUUUCAAUUAAUUGAAACCUGCAUGCUCAAACUGGAGCCACCGCCAAGCUUUCUUUGACUCUUCAAUCUUGAUUAUAAAACCAAUACCAGACUAUUCUUGUUUUUUUUCUAUGACGGCACUUCAUCACUUGGUUGUCUCAUAUCAUUGUUAAUUAAGCUUUUUGAAUUGUGCAUAGCUUAAUUAAACUUCCCCACAUGGCCUGCAAUAUUACCAGAACACACCUUUUUUUUUUAUAUAUUGCUUUGUGCUUUUGUGAAGUUCUAGAAUUGCUUUGUUGACAAUGACCAACACGGGCACCUUGUUAAUUAAGCUCUUUUGUCUUAUGCAUAGCUUAAUUAAUAUAAUCUCUUAGUCUGCAACACCACCAUAACAUUCAUUCCUCUUCUUCUUUCUUUAUAUAUAUAUUGCUUUGUGCUUCUGUCAAUCUCUGGAGUGGUUUUGAUGAUGUUGGCCCAUUUAGAUCAAGGUUUCAUGCUAGACACAAAGAUGCCACCGCCGAAGACUUCUUUAGUUUUCAUGUCGGCACCGCUUCAAUUACUUGCAUCAAAACACGCUGCAGCCUUUUGGAAUAAGUUGAGAGUGGCUUUAACGUAUCCCCUGCACUUUUAACACAUCUUUGACAAAUAGAGUGCCAAUUUGUCCUGUUCACUUUGCCUCAUCAUUUUCUUUCAACUUACAAAGCUCCAGCACACCAAGUAACCAAGCCUUAGUUGUUUUGGCUUGUGCAUGACCGGAUUAUAUGCUUUGCUUUUGCCGAUUACGUGGCUCUCCAAGAGGUGAGUUUUGUCAUCUUUCAUCAUCUUUACUAAUGUAGAACAAACUAGAUCACACAUUCCUUUUCUUUUCCAUUUGCUAUGAACUGCAUGCUUGUAGCUCUUUGGUCAUUUGUUUUCCCCUUUAUUUUGGAAGAAAGACUCAGUGAGCUUGCUUUGAGUCUCAGAGCUUGUGGCCUUUAGCCAGAAGUUUAACAUCCGCUUGGCUUUGUUUUGUUUGUUUUCUUUUAGAGCAGGUUCGGUAAAGCAUGUCACUCCGAUAUGGCUUCAGAGACGGAGCUCCGGCAAGGCUUGUGGAGACAGAGCUCCGACAUAUUCAUCGGGACGCUGCCCGGCAUGGUCAUCGGGUCGCUGCCCGGCAUGGUCAUCUGGUCGCUGCCCGGCAUGGUCAUCUGGUCGCUGCCCGGCAUGGUAUUUUUGUUCUUUUGUUUUUACUUUGGUAUGGCAUCGUUGAGAGGCCUGUGAACAUCCGAAGAGGUGGUGGAGCCUGUGAACAUUCAAAGAGAAGGUGGAGCAUGGAAGGGAGGAGAUCUCAACCUUUGUGGUGUCUUGAAUAUCUCCUCUGAACUUUGUCUUCUAAGUUGCUUUCUUGCCUUCGCUGCUUCCUCCCUCUGCAAUUCCACGCUGCUGUGCUCCUGACGUUUUUGUCCUCCGUUCCCUCCUCACGUUGCGGCCCCCCUUUUCUUCUUUUCAUGUAGUGCUUUUAUAUUGCACCGAUCAUGAGUUUGAUUUGUAUAAGACAUGGAGUUUUAGAGUUCAACUCGGAGUGAACUAGCUGGACAUUUUAUCUCCUUUUUCUUUUGGCGUGAAGACUGCAGCUUCUUUUUCAAUUGCUUGUCUAGACUUUGAAACAAGCUAGAAGUCAGCAGCUUAAUUGUUUCUUUUGUUUAAAGCUUCACUAGCUGUCAAACUCGUCCGCUAUUUUUCUUGAGAUAAAAGGCUUUUAAUAUUACA